rnacentral:misc_RNA from 1 species
AACCAUAGAAACCUGCGGAGUACCUGCGGAGGGAUCAUUACCGAGUUUACAACUCCCAAACCCCUGUGAACAUACCACUUGUUGCCUCGGCGGAUCAGCCCGCUCCCGGUAAAACGGGACGGCCCGCCAGAGGACCCCUAAACUCUGUUUCUAUAUGUAACUUCUGAGUAAAACCGUAAAUAAAUCAAAACUUUUAACAACGGAUCU